GCAGGGAUGGUGAGCAGGAACGGGGAAACGGGUUGGAGGUUCAUAAAUGCUUCGCUGUAGCGUCGGGGACACUGAGGCCGGCAAGGUCAAUGUAUUUUUCCUGACCCAAGGAAGAGAAAUGGAACAGGAAUGAAAUUUAAUGAAGUUUCAGGGUGCCUGAGAUCACUCGACGCUGUGUAACUCUUUACCACCAUGUCACCCUUCAAUGAUCAUGUGGAACAACACGCGGGUUGAAGAAAAAUGACUCCCAGGACCCUCGUUACUUAGGUGUGUGUCGCAGGACUGCUUGUCAUGUUGCCAGCGUUCUGCCUUUUUGUUCCUGAUAUAAAGCGUGUUCACGUCAUCGCAGCUGCUGCUAGUUUAAAAUGGUGAAAACAGUUAACAUGUCUCAGAAAAGGAAGCAGAGAAAUGGUUGCCCAUGCCGCCUAGUUCCCAGUGCCCUCACGUGCAACGCUGUUUACUCCUCACCUGGCUGUGCUCCACAUGCUGUGAUUCGGCACCAGGCUGCUUAGAAAACAACGUUCGACGAUUUAGGGGAGCGCUCUUCUCCAAAACAUAAAUUUACAGCAUCCUGAUGGAACAUUUCGGAAUGUCAAUGGAAAGAAAGCAUAUUUGCCUUCAGUCUGUGGUGACCUCCACAUCCAGAAACCCCAGACAUCUUGGCAAGUUUGUCAACUGCUUUGUUAAGAAGCCAUUGGUCUCAUGAUAGUUGUGCCAUGUUAGAAUUCAUUAUGCAUUCCUAUUUCUGAACUGCCUGGGAGAAUUUUCUCAGCUUGAUGUAAAUCCUUAGAUGGGAGAGACUGAUCAUUGUGAGAAGAAACCACAUUUCCUCCUUUUCCCUUUACUUAGUUAAACAUUUCAAUGGCGUUUUCUCAUUUUAACUGGGUAUAAGGCACUUGCCCAUUGGGGGUUGAAUUAAGUCUGUAAACCAUCAAGGAAAAGAAAAUGUUUAUUCUCCUGUCCUAGUCGUUUUUGAAAAUGAGUCAACAGCAGUAAGUAGCUGCCCUCCCAGGCAGAAAAAACAUAAUUCCAAUAUCUAACAUGUAAGAUGGUGGGAUAUUUUUUGUUUUCUUGAACGUUCUUUUUUUUUGAACAUGCAGUAUGAGAAAACAGUGAUACAAAUGAUUUCUUUUUUUAAGUGUAUUUAUUUCUCCCACAAGUGAGAGAGGCAGAGAAAGACAAAGAUUCAGCGCUUUAAGAUUAGUCCAAUUCGUCCCCUGGCUACAAAUUAUUUACAUUAUUUACACAGGGAAAAUAUAUUAUCCCCUUCCAAAUCCACCCCCAAACCCCAGGUCUCAACUCUUUAUAGCAUUAGCUUAAAGUGUAGAAACUCGUCAUCUUACUCAGUUCCAAGUGCAGAGGUGGUUUCUCUAGUGUUGUUCCUUAAGUUGCAAUUCUAUGAGUACUGUUCCUUUUAUCUCAAGCCCUGGGAGCUAAAAAGAUAAAUUAUUGACCCAUAUACUCACUCAAAAUACAUUUGUGAAGCAGGCCUAAGAUAACUACUCGAGACAAUCCUGUUCAAAAAGAGAAAUCAUGGGAAGCCCAAAGCAAGCAGUAGUUCAGGAUUCUGGGAUCCACCUUAGGCACAUGUUAGAAAUUACUUGGCUCUAACUCGAGGAAUUGCCUCAAGAAUGAUUCUCUGUGGCUCUAGCCUCCUCCUUCUCCUGGAUUCUUGGUUCUUUCCUCUGAUUCAUUCUUCCUUUUCAUGGAAAGAUGGCCUGUUCUGUAGAUAUAUAAUUUUCUCAGUAAAAAAAUUGGGGUUCCUGGGCCAGCAGGUGGGAUGGUGAAUGUGCUGAACUCCCGUAUGAACCUCCAUGGUUUGAGUCCUGGACCUGUGGCUUGCU